AUCUGGAUGACGAGUCCCAAAUUGGACGAAAUGCGCAUCUUGCAU
rnacentral:hammerhead_ribozyme from 1 species